rfam:Medicago truncatula strain A17 chromosome 4, whole genome shotgun sequence.
AAACAACCCCCUAUGUUUUGAUUCUUUGGCAGUUUUGGACCCCUAAGGCAAAAAAUAAAAUAAAAUAUUGAAACGUGGCACCUCACUUAAGGUGCCACGUCAGCGUUGACCGAGUCAACAAUGGAUUGGGGGUCCAAAACUGCCAAAGAAUCAAAACAUAGGGGGUUGUUU